GGGGAUGCACUAGGAUUUGACAAAGGCGAAACACAAGUAAUGCGGGUCGAGUAUUCUUGAAUCUCGUUAAACUUCAAGAAAAUUAAUAAGUGCCAACUUAUUUAACAAACAACCCGCGUUAGCAUACGCAUAACGCCAUCCGCCUUUAUUGACUCCUGAUAAAUUAAGGUGGGUGUCAUUUUAUCAGGAAUUGUGUUUAAGUUUUUGGUUUUUUAUUAACCACAAUAAAACAAAAGACCAAGCACCUAAAGGUUUUGCUUAAUUUUAGACUUUUGGUUGCUUUUAAAAAUUGGGCUACGCUCGUAGAUUUACUUGAGUAUUGCCCUUUGGACGCGGGUUCAAUUCCCGCCAUCUCCAC
rnacentral:tmRNA from 1 species